rnacentral:rRNA from 1 species
UACAGAGGUCUCAAGCGUUGUUCGGAUUCAUUGGGCGUAAAGGGUGCGUAGGCGGCGCGGUAAGUCGGGUGUGAAAUCUCGGAGCUUAACUCCGAAACUGCAUUCGAUACUGCCGUGCUUGAGGACUGGAGAGGAGACUGGAAUUUACGGUGUAGCGGUGAAAUGCGUAGAUAUCGUAAGGAAGACCAGUGGCGAAGGCGGGUCUCUGGACAGUUCCUGACGCUGAGGCGCGAAGGCCAGGGGAGCAAACGGG